CCACUACACUUAUUAUGAGAGUGGGAUAAGUGUAAAUGUGUUGCAUUGUUUGCAUGAUGAGCUCAGUAUAUUUUAUAACUGAGACAAAAAGUCACUUCAUUAGUAUUUUAAAGUUAAUUCCCCAUCUGGGAUUAAUUGUAUAGAAACACCAAUCAGCACAUCUUCCCUGCCCUGUGUGUUUGUUGCAAAGGAUCCAUACUAAAUAUGAUUUUGAAAAUAACAGAGCAACAUUUACAUUUUCAGCGGUCCAACACAUGCUUUAUUUUGCGCUGUAAACUAACCUUUUUAUUGCAACAGGUUCCUUUUAAAUGAUCCAGUGUAAUAACUACUGCUUGUGUCUUCUAUGUCUCACAUUAUGUGUUCUUUUAAAUUGUGGUAUAUAGCCUGGAUCAGAAAUCAUGGACAAAGGUUUUUUACCUGUGUUACUAAGGGCUCUUGGAGACUGACCGGUCUAAAGGUUUGCCAUGCCUUUAAAACAUGGUAUAGUAUAAAUUUUUUUAAGUCUCUGAGAGUUCUGAAAGAUUCAGGUGAAACCAUGUCUGUUU